rnacentral:lncRNA from 1 species
UCAGGAAAGCCAGCAUGACAAGCUCCUCCAAGAGAUCCAACAACUCCUUACAGCUUCUACCAGCUCCCAACAGCCUUUCUCAGCUCCCAACAGCCUACUUCUCCAGUUCUGCCUCUAAUGCUGCUGGCAACAGUCCUCAGCAGUUGCUCCAGAGCCAGUGAAUAUGAUGUUCAGCUGUCAAAGUAACUCCGGAAGAAAAGUCACCCUGCUCUCUGAAGAUGUGAAGUGUGGUACAACUGCCUAAUGACAGAAAGACCUUCUCACCAGAUCAUCCGUUUUCCUUCUCUCUCCUUCUGCAUUGACUUUUACUUGUAGUUCAGCAGGAUGUUAUGAAAAUAAAAACUGUGCCAAGC